CGGAGGACAAAGGCCUUCAGUUCGGCUCAUCCUUCCAGCGGCACUCCGAGCCCAGCACCCCCACCCAGUACAGCGCGGUGAGAACUGUACGGACCCAGGGGCUCUUCAGCUAUAGAGAAGACUAUCGGACCCAAGUGGACACCUCCACCCUGCCCCCUCCAGACCCCUGGCUGGAGCCCGCCAUCGACACGGUAGAGACUGGGAGGAUGUCUCCGUGCCGCAGGGAUGGCUCGUGGUUUUUGAAGCUGCUGCACGCAGAGACAAAGAGGAUGGAAGGCUGGUGCAAAGAGAUGGAGAGAGAGGCGGAGGAGAACGACCUCUCGGAGGAAAAAUUGUUACCAGCUCAUGCUUUACAAGAAAAUGCCUUGGCAUUAUGCCAAAGAGAAGUCGAUGGAGGUGACGAUGGACGCCGAAUGUUGGGGAGAUGCUGCCUUCCACGUGACCCACAGUCCCCGCAGCACGGCUGCAUGGGGCUGGUGCAAGUCAGCACAGCCGUGUUCCGAUCGUUCACACGGCGUUUGCAUUUCUCAUGGCUGGCUGGUAAAUCAGAUCCAAGGAAGAGCAGCCUGUCUUGAAGUGGAUUUGUGAACGGCACAAGGCCCCGGUGUUAAGAUGCCCGACAGACAACCUUCCAUCCUUCUUUUCAAGACAGAAACAAUGCCAAAGUGUUAUCCGAGUUACUUGCUUUUAUUAAAAGUUAUGCUUUUUU
rnacentral:misc_RNA from 1 species